rnacentral:lncRNA from 10 species
GUUCACGCCAUUCUCCUGCCUCAGCCUCCCGAGGAGCUGCAACUACAGGCGCCCACCACCAUGCCUGGCUAAUUUUUUGUAUUUUUAGUAGAGACGGGGUUUCACCGUGUUAGCCAGGAUGGUUUGAACUCCUGAUCUGAAGUGAUCCGCCCGCCUCGGCCUCCCAAAGUUCUGGGAUUACAGGAGUGAGCCACCGCGCCCGGCCCUUUUUUUUUUUUGUGACGGAGUCUCGCUCUGUCGCCCAGGCUGGAGUGCAGUGGCGCAAUCCCAGCUCACUGCAAGCUCCGCCUCCCGGGUUCACGCUGUUUUCCUGCCUCAGCCUCCAGAGUAGCUGGGACUACAGGUGCCCGCUACCAUGCCUGGCUAAUUUUUUUGCAUUUUCGUAGAGACGGGGUUUCACUGUGUUAGCCAGGAUGGUCUUGAUCUCCUGACCUCGUGAUCCGCCUGCCUUGGCCUCCCAAAGUGUUGGGAUUACAGGUGUGAGCCACCGCGCCCGGUCGAGUUUUCUUCUUUAAUCUGGUGUUGAUCCUGAGAGUGCUUUGUUAAAAAACAUUCUCCAUGCUGACCUCCGUUUUCGAGUCCGCUUCCUGGGGAAACCUGAAACAGGACUUGAUGCUAGCAGCUGCCCAGAAGAACCAGAUGGGCCACUGUCCUUGCCAGAAGAUCUGAUAUCCUGUGUAUGGCCACCACCUAACACUGCUCACUUCUACAUGUAAACCUCAGUUGUCCCUCCAGUGAGUUUGUGUCACUCUUCACAGUCUGUAUUUCUCCUGCUUACAUGUGAUUCCCACAUGUUCUACAGAGUCUAAAGGCAUAUGAGGUAGCUGUAUAACAUUUCACAAGAUGAAUGUACCACAAAUUUUAAUCCUUCUAUUGUUGAUGGAUUUGGAUUAUUACCAACUUUUGGCCUUUGAGCCAGUCUAGGAUUCACGAUGUAACCAUGGAGCAGAUGCUUUGAGGUGAAUGACAUUUCCAGCAUUGAAGGACAGCAUAGACACGGAAAUACAUUUUAUGGCGUGCCAGUGGGUGUGGUGGGUCUCAGGGAUGCAAG